rnacentral:rRNA from 1 species
CACCUCCUUAGAGUUUGGAAUCCUGGCUCAGAGCGAACGCUGGCGGCAGGCCUAACACAUGCAANUCGAACGGAUCCUUCGGGAUUAGUGGCGGACGGGUGAGUAACACGUGGGAACGUGCCCUUUGGUUCGGAACAACUCAGGGAAACUUGAGCUAAUACCGGAUGUGCCCUUCGGGGGAAAGAUUUAUCGCCAUUGGAGCGGCCCGCGUCUGAUUAGCUAGUUGGUGGGGUAAAGGCCCACCAAGGCGACGAUCAGUAGCUGGUCUGAGAGGAUGAUCAGCCACAUUGGGACUGAGACACGGCCCAAACUCCUACGGGAGGCAGCAGUGGGGAAUCUUGCGCAAUGGGCGAAAGCCUGACGCAGCCAUGCCGCGUGAAUGAUGAAGGUCUUAGGAUUGUAAAAUUCUUUCACCGGGGACGAUAAUGACGG